rnacentral:rRNA from 1 species
AGGGAAUCUUCCGCAAUGGGCGAAAGCCUGACGGAGCAACGCCGCGUGAGUGAUGAAGGUCUUCGGAUCGUAAAACUCUGUUAUUAGGGAAGAACAAAUGUGUAAGUAACUAUGCACGUCUUGACGGUACCUAAUCAGAAAGCCACGGCUAACUACGUGCCAGCAGCCGCGGUAAUACGUAGGUGGCAAGCGUUAUCCGGAAUUAUUGGGCGUAAAGCGCGCGUAGGCGGUUUUUUAAGUCUGAUGUGAAAGCCCACGGCUCAACCGUGGAGGGUCAUUGGAAACUGGAAAACUUGAGUGCAGAAGAGGAAAGUGGAAUUCCAUGUGUAGCGGUGAAAUGCGCAGAGAUAUGGAGGAACACCAGUGGCGAAGGCGACCUUCUGGUCUGUAACUGACGCUGAUGUGCGAAAGCGUGGGGAUCAAACAGGAUUAGAUACCCUGGUAGUCCACGCCGUAAACGAUGAGUGCUAAGUGUUAGGGGGUUUCCGCCCCUUAGUGCUGCAGCUAACGCAUUAAGCACUCCGCCUGGGGAGUACGACCGCAAGGUUG